UUCAAAGUCACCCCUUGAUUGGUGAUGAGG
rnacentral:piRNA from 1 species